rnacentral:rRNA from 1 species
CGGGGUGAGUAACGCGUGAGGAACCUGCCUUGGAUGGGGAAUAACAGUUAGAAAUAGCUGCUAAUACCGCACAAUGCAACUAAGUCGCAUGGCUUUGGUUGCCAAAGAUUUAUCGCUCUAAGAUGGCCUCGCGUCUGAUUAGAUAGUUGGCGGGGUAACGGCCCACCAAGUCGACGAUCAGUAGCCGGACUGAGAGGUUGGCCGGCCACAUUGGGACUGAGACACGGCCCAGACUCCUACGGGAGGCAGCAG